GGUGGUAAUGCCGGAUGCUCCAGUUGAUCGCAUGGUCUUCUGGGAAAGCUUUCGCGGUAUGGGAUGGGGUCGCGUCCUAUCAGCUUGACGGCGGGGUAACGGCCCACCGUGGCUUCGACGGGUAGCCGGCCUGAGAGGGCGACCGGCCACAUUGGGACUGAGAUACGGCCCAGACUCCUACGGGAGGCAGCAGUGGGGAAUAUUGCACAAUGGGCGCAAGCCUGAUGCAGCGACGCCGCGUGAGGGAUGGAGGCCUUCGGGUUGUAAACCUCUUUUAUCGGGGAGCAAGCGUGAGUGAGUUUACCCGUUGAAUAAGCACCGGCUAACUACGUGCCAGCAGCCGCGGUAAUACGUAGGGUGCAAGCGUUAUCCGGAAUUAUUGGGCGUAAAGGGCUCGUAGGCGGUUCGUCGCGUCCGGUGUGAAAGUCCAUCGCUUAACGGUGGAUCCGCGCCGGGUACGGGCGGGCUUGAGUGCGGUAGGGGAGACUGGAAUUCCCGGUGUAACGGUGGAAUGUGUAGAUAUCGGA
rnacentral:rRNA from 1 species